GGUUAGUCAAAGGGGAGGAAGUACCUAAAGGCAUUGUGAAGAGAGUUUAUAGGAAUAAUAGGAAUAUAGAUAAUGAAUAAUAGGAAUAUAGUGAUGCAUUUUAAGUAUAGAUUCUUCAGUUAAUCCCCUUGGUUUGCAUCCUAGUUCCACUGAGUCACUAGCUGUGUGUCCCUGGUCAAACUGCUAAACUCUCUAAGCCUGCUUCCUUAUCUAUCAAAUGGGAAAAAAAUGGAAUGAGAUGAUGAAGACAUAUUUUUAAUCUAAUGCCUUCAACAUAGUAAGUGCUCAAUUAAAUUAUGAAUGUAGGUAUAACUUCAGGAGACUAAGGUUGUCAGAUGUGUGAAAUAUAGCAGAAUUAGGUAGCCAAAAAGCUCAUGCUUUCAAAUUGAUCUGUUGUAGAAUCGUAUUGAGGCAAGCUGUGACCCACUGAAGAUGGAAGAAGCCAGAUGAAAUUUUGCUCGUUUAGGGGUACGACCUGUCUGAUCCUGGCAUAACUCCCAGAGAUGGUACUUCCACCUUGCCCAGAGCAAGAGCUCCAUGGAGAAUGGCCAUAAAGAGUCACUCUGAAGCAGAUGAAAUCUCAGCAUGAGAGAGAGAUGAGUGUUCUAGUUGAAGUGAGGGCCAUGUUCCAGGAGACACAUCAGCUCUGCCCUUUCAGCUUCCACUAUACCUUUUCCAGGAGAACUUGGAUCAUUUCCACAUCAAGAAAUGCAGUUUGGAAACCCACUGGACCAGGAAAGCAAAGACACAGUCAUGAUGCAAAUACCCCAAGAGAUGUAAAAUGUCAACAAAAGGCACAAUAUAAGAAGGGAAUGAAUAAAGGCAGAGUCUGGACCCUAGUUCCCACUCUACUACUCUUUCUUUUUAGGAAACAUUUGCUGAUGCCUGGUCCCGGAGCUGCAUUUCUCAAGCUUUAAUAUCCAUAGCUUACAGGUGAUGAUAACAUGAUGAUACUGUGCAGCCAGGGCCUAGAGCCAUUGUUCUUGGGAUCAUAUGUACAUAAUUUGUCCAAUUGGCUGACACCUUAGAAAACAGAAUCAAAUCUCUGGAAAAGUGAUUCAGGACAGGUGAGUUCUUGUGGCAAUGAAGACAAUGGCAGAUAACAGGAAGAAGUUUGGCUGUUAAUAGCCUGUGCAUGAAAUACCCCUGUUUAGUUUCUGAAU
rnacentral:lncRNA from 1 species